GAUUAUGGCUACAGAACGAACGCUGGUGGCGUGUCUUAAUACAUGCAAGUCGAGCGGUCCGCAAGGAUAGCGGCGAACGGGUGAGUAACGCGUAAGCAAUCUGCCCCGCAUAUUGGGAUAGCCGUGCCAACGCGCGGAUAAUACCGAAUAACGUGGCCCCGGACAUCCGGGGUUGACGAAAGAUUCAUCGAUGCGGGAUGAGCUUGCGUCCGAUUAGCUAGUGGCGGGCAACGGCCCACCAAGGCGACGAUCGGUAGCCGGCCUGAGAGGGUGAUCGGCCACAUUGGGACUGAGAUACGGCCCAGACUCCUACGGGAGGCAGCAGUAGGGAAUAUUGCACAAUGGGGGAAACCCUGAUGCAGCAACGCCAACGUGUGGGAAGAAGCAUUUCGGUGUGUAAACCACUGUCGUGAGGGAAUAAUACGCGUCUUCGGGCGCGGGGGAAUGUACCUCGAAAGGAAGCACCGGCAAACUUCGUGCCAGCAGCGGC
rnacentral:rRNA from 1 species